rnacentral:rRNA from 1 species
AUGAACGCUAGCGACAGGCUUAACACAUGCAAGUCGAGGGGCAGCGGGGGAUAGCAAUAUUCUGCCGGCGACCGGCGCACGGGUGCGUAACACGUAUGCAACCUGCCUACAAGAGGGGGAUAGCCCGGCGAAAGUCGGAUUAAUACCGCAUAAAACAGGGGCUCCGCAUGGAGCUAUUUGUUAAAGGAGCAAUCCGCUUGUAGAUGGGCAUGCGUUCCAUUAGAUAGUUGGUAGGGUAACGGCCUACCAAGUCUGCGAUGGAUAGGGGUUCUGAGAGGAAGGUCCCCCACACUGGUACUGAGACACGGACCAGACUCCUACGGGAGGCAGCAGUGAGGAAUAUUGGUCAAUGGGCGCGAGCCUGAACCAGCCAAGUCGCGUGAAGGAUGACUGCCCUACGGGUUGUAAACUUCUUUUAGUGGGGAAUAAAAAAAGGGACGUGUCCCUUAUUGCAUGUACCCACGGAAUAAGCAUCGGCUAACUCCGUGCCAGCAGCCGCGGUAAUACGGAGGAUGCGAGCGUUAUCCGGAUUUAUUGGGUUUAAAGGGUGCGUAGGUGGCUUUUUAAGUCAGUGGUGAAAGUUUGUCGCUCAACGAUAAAAUUGCCAUUGAAACUGGGAAGCUUGAGUAUGUUUGAGGUAGGCGGAAUUCGUGGUGUAGCGGUGAAAUGCUUAGAUAUCACGAGGACUCCGAUUGCGAGGCAGCUUACCAAACCAUACUGACACUGAGC